rnacentral:siRNA from 1 species
GGGACAGGGUUAUAAGGUGGGACA